AUUGAACGCUGGCGGCAUGCCUUACACAUGCAAGUCGAACGGCAGCACGGGUGCUUGCACCUGGUGGCGAGUGGCGAACGGGUGAGUAAUACAUCGGAACGUACCUUAUCGUGGGGGAUAACGCAGCGAAAGCUGUGCUAAUACCGCAUACGCCCUGAGGGGGAAAGCGGGGGAUCGAAAGACCUCGCGCGAUUAGAGCGGCCGAUGCCUGAUUAGCUUGUUGGGGGGGCAAAAGCCCACCAAGGGGACGAUCAGUAGCUGGUCUGAGAGGACGAUCAGCCACACUGGGACUGAGACACGGCCCAGACUCCUACGGGAGGCAGCAGUGGGGAAUUUUGGACAAUGGGGGCAACCCUGAUCCAGCAAUGCCGCGUGAGUGAAGAAGGCCUUCGGGUUGUAAAGCUCUUUUGUCAGGGAAGAAACACCGGCUCUAACACAGUCCGGGAAUGACGGUACCUGGAGAAUAAGCACCGGCUAACUACGUGCCAGCAGCCGCCGUAA
rnacentral:rRNA from 1 species